AGCAGCCGCGGUAAUUCCAGCUCCAAUAGCGUAUAUUAAAGUUGUUGCAGUUAAAAAGCUCGUAGUUGAAUUUCGGGAUUAGUACGUUGGUCGUGCCUUCGGUACGUACUGGUGUUACUGAUUCCUACCUUCUGACGAACCAUCAUGUCAUUUAUUUGGUGUGGCGGGGAAUCAGGACUGUUACUUUGAAAAAAUUAGAGUGUUUAAAGCAGGCUCGCGCUUGAAUACAUUAGCAUGGAAUAAUGAAAUAGGACGUUGACCCUAUUUUGUUGGUUUCUAGGAUUGACGUAAUGAUUAAUAGGGAUAGUUGGGGGCAUUAGUAUUCAAUUGUCAGAGGUGAAAUUCUUGGAUUUAUUGAAGACUAACUACUGCGAAAGCAUUUGCCAAGGAUGUUUUCGUUAAUCAAGAACGAAAGUUAGGGGAUCGAAGACGAUCAGAUACCGUCGUAGUCUUAACCAUAAACUAUGACCGACUAGGGAUCGGAUGAUGUUAUUUUUAAUGUACUCUAUUCGGCGCCGUU
rnacentral:rRNA from 1 species